CUUAAGCUUCCUCUCUUUUCUUUGAUCCUACAAAACAUCAAUUGUAAUCUUAUCACAUUAUGUAUUAAGAAUCUAGAAUAGGAGCUUAAAAGAGUUAGUCAAUGGAUUUUACCUAAAGCAGAGCCAUACGUUUUGACUCUCCCAUCUCUCACAUCUCUUAGGUAAAUAGGGCAGCUUCGUCUCCAAUGCCCCUUCUCUUGGCAAUAAAAGCAAAUUGACUCUUUUGGAACAGAACAUGGAACUACUUCAGACAUUGCCUUUCUCUUAUGAUCAAACUUUUCGAUCAUAACAUGUCUUUCGUUGCCAUUGUCUAUAUCCAUAGAGGUCUUGAAGGCAGAUUCACCAAUCAACUUUGCUUUUCUAUUGCGCCAAACCAUUGCUGAUUCAGCAGCAAUAAGCAUAUAGGUGAGAUCUAUAAGGGUCACGUCGUAGUUCAUCAUAUAGUACUCUCUUACGAACUCACUAUACGAGUUAGGAAGUGACUGAAGAACCCAGUCCCCAGCCAUCUCCUCAAAGACAAUGGAUCACUGAAGAACCCAGUCCCCAGCCAUCUCCUCAAAGACAAUGGAUCCCAACAUUCUUAACCUAUCAAUGUGUGACUUCAUCCCUAGGACGUGUGCAUACACCGACUUUCCUUCUUUAUGUUUACUUGCCAAAAGGGCUUGAGUAAGCUUGAACUUUUCAAAUCUUCGAACUUAUGGGUUAGGGAGAAUAAUUGGAGGAGGUGGAGGAAGAGAAGCAUGAUCUCUUGUUCCUCGAUCGAAUCGUGGAAUAUCAUCUUCAUGUGGAAUGCUUGUUCCACGGGAUUUGGGUAGACAAUAGUUGUCGUACUUUGACAUCCNAUUCCAAGUUUCUGUCCAAUUGAAACUUAGGUGAUGAGAAACUUUCCGUAUUCGGUAAAUUUUCGACAUUUUCACAAAGAACAUAGUUAAGAAUCAAAUCCAUUAUUGCAUCAAUUUUUCAUACACGCCAUUAUAAGGAUAAAUAAAUAAAAUUUAUUUUAUUGCGGAAAAAUUUGUCCUUACAAUGCAAUUCAUUGAAAAACUAUGCUAAUACAUCUUUCUUAGCAAUCUAAUUCUAACUCUAAGUAGCAGCUCAAGAAUCUAAUCUUCAAGUAAUGCGAUCGAAAUCCAUUCCUUCACGGUUAGAUUCUGCUCACUUCUUCCCUUAAGCUUCCUUUCUUUUCUUCGAUCCUACAAAACAUCAAUUGUAAUCUUAUCACAUUAUGUAUUAAGAAUCUAGAAUAGAAGCUUAAAAGAGUUAGUCAAUGGAUUUUACCUAAAGCAGAGCCAUACGUUUUGACUCUCCCAUCUCUUAGAUCUCUUAGGUAAAUAGGGCAGCUUCGUCUCCAAUGCCCCUUCUCUUGGCAAUAAAAGCAAAUUGACUCUUUUGGAACAGGACAUGGAACUACUUCAGACAUUGCCUUUCUCUUAUGAUCAAACUUUUCGAUCAUAGCAUGUCUUUCGUUGCCAUUGUCUAUAUCCAUAGAGGUCUUGAAGGCAGAUUCACCAAUCAACUUUGCUUUUCUAUUGCGCCAAACCAUUGCUGAUUCAGCAGCAAUAAGCAUAUAGGUGAGAUCUAUAAGGGUCACGUCGUAGUUCAUCAUAUAGUACUCUCUUACGAACUCACUAUACGAGUUAGGAAGUGACUGAAGAACCCAAUCAACAGCCAUUUCCUCACAGACAACGGAUCCCAACAUUCUUAACCUAUCAAUGUGUGACUUCAUCCCUAGGACGUGUGCACACACCGACUUUCCUUCUUUAUGUUUACUUGCCAAAAGGGCUUGAGUGAUCUUGAACUUUUCAAGCCUUUGAACUUGUGGGUUAGGGAGAAUAAUUGGAG
rnacentral:lncRNA from 1 species